UGCUAAAGCGAGAUACCCAAAUACUUGCAUAGAAAUCAUAUUCGAAAAACACCUGAUGACUAAAAAAAACAUCAUACAAGUAUCAUAUUUUGAUAAGUUCCUCCCUCAUUUAAAACUUCUGGACAGUUCAAGUAAAAGUAUACCGAAAGAAUAGCUGCGGAAGACAGAUAUCUAAAUUAAUGAAUCACUUAUGAAAACUUUGAUAUCUAUAUUAUACCAUUACAAAUAAAGAUAUAAAUAAGAUAUAUUAAUACACCUAAGAUUAGUUUAGUAGAAACUAUAGAAUAUAGUUCAUACAUUGUGUGUUAUGUUCAACUACGUGCUUUGUAUUUUCAUGUCAAAAUUAAAAAAAAAAAAAAAAAU